UACGUAGGGUCCGAGCGUUAAUCGGAAUUACUGGGCGUAAAGCGUGCGCAGGCGGUUUUGUAAGCCAGAUGUGAAAGCCCCGGGCUCAACCUGGGAAUGGCAUUUGUGACUGCACGGCUAGAGUGUGUCAGAGGGGGGUAGAAUUCCACGUGUAGCAGUGAAAUGCGUAGAGAUGUGGAGGAAUACCGAUGGCGAAGGCAGCCCCCUGGGAUAACACUGACGCUCAUGCACGAAAGCGUGGGGAGCAAACAGG
rnacentral:rRNA from 1 species